GCGCAGCGACCAGAACUUGGCCGAGAGAGAGAGAGAGAUUGGCAUUGGGGUGAACGGCUCCAACAGAGAGAGAAAGAGGAAGACCGACAGUUUUUGAGAAGAGAGAGAGAGUGGGCUUGAUUAAUUUUAAUUUUAUUGGGCUUCUUUCACUUAUUUUUUUAUUUGGACUCUUUUGUUUUAAUUGGGCUUUCUUUAUUGUAAUUGGGCCUUUCUCUUUUAAAUUAUGAAUUGGGCCUCUGAUUUUAUUUAUAUGGGCCGAUUUUAAUUACUGAUUGGGCCUCUGAAUUUAUUUCAGUUGGGCCUUGGUUA
rnacentral:lncRNA from 1 species